UUGAGGCCUUUGUUCCACAAAGCCAUCACUGUGGCUGGACUUGCGACCCCUUGGCUCCCCCUAACUACAAACAUGCCUUAGUGUCUUUAUUCUCGCCAUGGGUUGCACUGGAACUGGUAGAUUGGAAUUAACUCACUAGGAUUCCAAUAACUUUUCCGUGGCAUUGCAAAUAUAAACUUCCUGGGCCACACUGAGGACCGGAAAGGGCUCUUUAUAAAGGUCAGAUCUCCACCUGAGGACCAGGGCCUUCUUCCUCAACACCUUGCUGGCUUACUCCCAUUCCGUCCACCCUCUGCAUCUCAUAAGUUCAGAAGCCCCUCUUUUCUCUGGGUGUGAGGAAACUAUGUCCCUUUUCAGGACAUUUAUUAAGUAUCUAGAUUUUUUUUAAAUGCAUUUGGGCUACUUAAUCUUGGCCUGAUCUCACCACACUCCUCUUCCCCUCCUUGUAUUAUGUUGCCUAUCCCCACGAGCUACGUCGUGUCUAUUUUGUGACAGAGCAGUGCGUGUGGCUUGAGGUCACUGACCUUCACAGCCCAGGCUGAGGUGGCCUUUUCAGUUGGCUUUCAACACGUAGGCAAAUUAUAAUUUUUGUAUUUUUUCUUUUAAGUACAGUAUCUUAAAAUCUCUGAAUAUAUAGAUUGAACCAAUAUGAGCAUUAUAUAGAAGUAAAUAUAAUAUUAUAAAAAUCAGUUAGUGUGCUGACCCAAGUGGAAGGCUGUCUCUGUGGAAUCCCUGGUUCUCGAACUUUCCUGUGCCUAAGAAAUCACCUGGACGGUUUGGUAGAGAAGAAGACUCUGACCACAUCCCCCAAAAGAACUAUUUAUUAGGUCUGAGCUGGAGCCCCGGAUUCUGCAGUAUGGGAAUCUCCCAGCCAGGUCGUCUUCUGAAGCAUCAUCAUAACUCUCCAAACGCAGAAUUCCUGCCUUAAUUUCUUGGGACUCCACUUCCUGUAGAUUGGCCCCCAUCUGUCAUGUCUCACAAGAGAGCUGUCCUCACACGAGGACGUCUCAUCCAUGUAGCCUGAUCAAGGUGCAUGGGCCACACAGCGGUCAGGGAUCUCAUCCCAGGAACUCAUCAUCUGAGUCACGACUCCUAGCACACCGCGCUUCACGAUGUUUCCAUUAAAUCAAGUGUCCGUGGAAGAUGGAUGAGACAAGAGUGGCAACAAAACUGAUGACAGUUAAGGAUGACGGUCCUCACAAAGGGAGGGAAAAAUUGCAGGCAUCAAAAUCCAGAAACCAUUUAUUUCACACAAGUACAUGGAGCGCAUCUGUUACAACAUACAGUGUAUUGAAUGGAGCUCAGGACUUUACUGUUGCUGAGAAUGGCUUCA